UACGUAGGGUGCGAGCGUUAAUCGGAAUUACUGGGCAUAAAGCGUGCGCAGGCGGUUCGUUGUGUCGGUGGUGAAAGCCCCGGGCUUAACCUGGGAAUGGCCAUGGAAACUGGCGAACUGGAGUGUGGCAGAGGGGGGUGGAAUUCCGCGUGUAGCAGUGAAAUGCGUAGAGAUGCGGAGGAACACCGAUGGCGAAGGCAGCCCCCUGGGCUAGCACUGACGCUCAGGCACGAAAGCGUGGGGAGCAAACAGG
rnacentral:rRNA from 1 species